GUUCAACUUGAAGGCGGAGGCAAGCUGCGUUUAGCAGGAUGUUUAGUUGGGGGUGCUGUGGUAGCCUGCGUACAAAGAGUGCACGGAGUUAGGCACAAUACAUUCAGCCUGAUUGGCCGUAAUGAGUAUCGGGACCUUGAAAAUGACUGGAAAUGUAUUGAGAAUGGUUCUCACUCUUCUGCUCCUUGCUCCUAUCAGUCAAGGGAUCCAGGGUGUUGAGUUGUUCUAUUAUGAAAAGAUGGAAGCUGUAGUGGGCCAGAAUGUUUCCUUACCCUGCACUUUAAAAAGUGCUACUGAUAACAAGAUUGUCAGCAUUGAAUGGAGUAAGGAAACAAAUAAAAAUACAAAGCUGGGUUUGUACAGCCAGUUUUAUGGAAUCCAUGUAUUCUGGCAAAAUAUUACCAUCCAGAUUGAGAAGAACGGUACAGAUGUCCUGGGUUCCCAGCUAAUACUUUCUGAUGUGAAGAAAUCGGAUGAAGGCAUCUAUGUUUGUGACAUGGCCACCUUUCCUGAUGGAUCCAAAAAGGUUAAAACACAGCUAAUAAUCAAAGGGAUCCAGGGUGUUGAGUUGUUCCAUUAUGAAAAGAUGGAAGCUGUAGUGGGCCAGAAUGUUUCCUUACCCUGCACUUUAAAAAGUGCUACUGAUAACAAGAUUGUCAGCAUUGAAUGGAGUAAGGAAACAAAUAAAACUACAAAGCUGGGUUUGCACAGCCAAUUUUAUGGAUUCCAUCUAUUCUGGCAAAAUAUUACCAUCCAGAUUGAGAAAAACGGUACAGAUGUACUGGGUUCCCAUCUAAAACUUUCUGAUGUGAAGAAAUCGGAUGAAGGCAUCUAUGUUUGUGACAUGGCCACCUUUCCUGAUGGAUCCAAAAAGGUUAAAACACAGCUAAUAAUCAAAGAUGACAUUAAAAUAACGUGUGAUGUGAAUGGCACUGUUGAAGUCCAAAAUGGAGAAAAUGUGACAAUUCGCUGCACAUCAUUUCCAAACGCACAGUACAGAUGGACCAAGAAUGAUGAAGUGUUGUCAGAGACUGAAUCUCUGGAGCUCUGGUGGGUGACUGAUGCUAAGGCAGGGAUUUAUACACUGACUGUCAACACAGGAAGCAAACGUGUGCGCAAAGAGUUUGUGGUCACAGUGCAACCACAAGUUUGAAGACAGGAUGGAUCUACCACCUCCUUUCAAUCUCCCUCCAGCUUUAGUCAAGUAUACAGCUGCAAGGUAGAGCAAGACUACAACAGAGCCUUUCCCCAUCUUUGACACAGAUUCAAAUAUGAAAUAUGUCAGUUCAUUAGCUGAAAAGUGAAGUAAUAGUAGAGUAGGGUUUAAACCAUGUCUUCUCUACUAAUUAGAAACCAGUACAAACCAGAAGUUUUGCAAAUGUAGCUCUGUCUAAAGGUGUUUUCAGGAUUUUUUUUUUUUUUUUUUUUUU